ACCCGCCUGUAUGAAGUUGGAAUCGCUAGUAAUCGCGGAUCAGCAUGCCGCGGUGAAUACGUUCCCGGGCCUUGUACACACCGCCCGUCACACCAUGAGAGUCGGGAACACCCGAAGUCCGUAGCCUAACCGCAAGGAGGGCGCGGCCGAAGGUGGGUUCGAUAAUUGGGGUGAAGUCGUAACAAGGUACC
rnacentral:rRNA from 1 species